CCUACGGGAGGCAGCAGUGAGGAAUAUUGGUCAAUGGACGAGAGUCUGAACCAGCCAAGUCGCGUGAAGGAUGACUGCCCUAUGGGUUGUAAACUUCUUUUAUAAAGGAAUAAAACGAGGCACGUGUGCCUGUUUGCAUGUACUUUAUGAAUAAGGAUCGGCUAACUCCGUGCCAGCCGCCGCGGUAAUACGGAGGAUCCGAGCGUUAUCCGGAUUUAUUGGGUUUAAGGGGCACGUAGACUGGUUGUUAAGUCAGUUGUGAAAGUUUGCGGCUCAACCGUAAAAUUGCAAUUGAUACUGGCAGUCUUGAGUACAGUUGAGGUAGGCGGAAUUCGUGGUGUAGCGGUGAAAUGCUUAGAUAUCACGAAGAACCCCGAUUGCGAAGGCAGCUUACUAAACUGUGACUGACAUUGAUGCUCGAAAGUGUGGGUAUCAAACAGGAUUAGAUACCCUAGUAGUC
rnacentral:rRNA from 1 species